GAAAGUGACAGAGGGGGUAUGUGUCUGGCUUGAAACCAGAAGAUGGGGGUUCGACUCCCUCCUUUCUC
rnacentral:tRNA from 1 species